UACGUAGGGCGCAAGCGUUGUCCGGAAUUAUUGGGCGUAAAGAGCUCGUAGGCGGCUUGUCACGUCGACUGUGAAAACCCGGGGCUCAACUCCGGGCCUGCAGUCGAUACGGGCUGGCUUGAGUGCGGUAGGGGAGACUGGAAUUCCUGGUGUAGCGGUGAAAUGCGCAGAUAUCAGGAGGAACACCGGUGGCGAAGGCGGGUCUCUGGGCCGAUACUGACGCUGAGGAGCGAAAGCGUGGGGAGCGAACAGG
rnacentral:rRNA from 1 species